CGCACAUUGCGCCCCUUGGUAUUCCGGGGGGCAUGCCUGUUCGAGCGUCAUUUCAACCCUCAAGCUGUGCUUGGUCUUGGGCGCUGCCGGCGACGGCUCGCCCUAAAAUCAGUGGCAGUGCCAGCGGGCUCUCUGCGUAGUAAUAAACCCCUCGCUAUUGAGACCUGCUGCGCGCGCGCCAGCAACCCCUAAUUUCUAUGGUUGACCUCGGAUCAGGUAGGGAUACCCGCUGAACUUAA
rnacentral:misc_RNA from 1 species